rnacentral:piRNA from 1 species
UCUUUUACAAACACCAAUGCAACUGAAA